rnacentral:rRNA from 1 species
CCUACGGGUGGCUGCAGUGAGGAAUAUUGGUCAAUGGGCGCUAGCCUGAACCAGCCAAGUAGCGUGAAGGAUGACUGCUCUAUGGAUUGUAAACUUCUUUUAUAUGGGAAUAAAGUGUGGUAUGUAUACUGUUUUGUAUGUACCUUAUGAAUAAGGAUCGGCUAACUCCGUGCCAGCAGCCGCGGUAAUACGGAGGAUCCGAGCGUUAUCCGGAUUUAUUGGGUUUAAAGGGUGCGUAGGCGGGCUUUUAAGUCAGUGGUGAAAGUUUGCGGCUCAACCGUAAAAUUGCAGUUGAUACUGGGAGCCUUGAGUACAGUUGAGGUAGGCGGAAUGCGUGGUGUAGCGGUGAAAUGCUUAGAUAUCACGAAGAACCCCGAUUGCGAAGGCAGCCUGCUAGGCUGUGACUGACGCUGAUGCACGAAAGCGUGGGGAUCAAACAGGAUUAGAUACCCUGGUAGUC